rnacentral:rRNA from 1 species
CCUACGGGGGGCAGCAGUGAGGAAUAUUGGUCAAUGGGCUUACGCCUGAACCAGCCAAGUCGCGUGAGGGAAGACUGCCCUAUGGGUUGUAAACCUUUUUUGUCAGGGAGCAAUUGGCGCUACGUGUAUCGUUAUCGAUAGUACCUGAAUAAAAAGAAUCGGCUAACUCCGUGCCAGCAGCCGCGGUAAUACGGAGGAUGCGAGCGUUAUCCGGAUUGAUUGGGUUAAAAGGGUGCGUAGGCGGAAUGCAAAGUCAGCGGGAAAAUCGCGGGGCUCAACCUCGCUCCGCCGUUGAAACUGGCGUUCUUGAGUGGGCGAGAAGUAUGCGGAAUGCGUGGUGUAGCGGUGAAAUGCAUAGAUAUCACGCAGAACUCCGAUUGCGAAGGCAGCAUACCGGCGCCCAACUGACGCUGAAGCACGAAAGCGUGGGUAUCGAACAGGAUUAGAUACCCGAGUAGUC